rnacentral:rRNA from 1 species
GCAGUCGCCGCGGUAAUACGAAGGGGGCUAGCGUUGCUCGGAAUGACUGGGCGUAAAGGGCGCGUAGGCGGCGAUCAAAGUCAGGCGUGAAAUUCCUGGGCUCAACCUGGGGGCUGCGCUUGAUACUUGGUUGCUUGAGUGGGGAAGAGGGUCGUGGAAUUCCCAGUGUAGAGGUGAAAUUCGUAGAUAUUGGGAAGAACACCGGUGGCGAAGGCGGCGACCUGGUCCUUGACUGACGCUGAGGCGCGAAAGCGUGGAGAGCAAACAGGAUUAGAUACCCCAGUAGUCCCUGUCUCUUAUAC